rnacentral:rRNA from 1 species
GAUGAACGCUGGCGGCGUGCCUAAUACAUGCGAGUCGAGCGAACAGACGAGGAGCUUGCUCCUCUGACGUUAGCGGCGGACGGGUGAGUAACACGUGGAUAACCUACCUAUAAGACUGGGAUAACUUCGGGAAACCGGAGCUAAUACCGGAUAAUAUAUUGAACCGCAUGGUUCAAUAGUGAAAGACGGUUUUGCUGUCACUUAUAGAUGGAUCCGCGCCGCAUUAGCUAGUUGGUAAGGUAACGGCUUACCAAGGCAACGAUGCGUAGCCGGCCUGAGAGGGUGAUCGGCCACACUGGAACUGAGACACGGUCCAGACUCCUACGGGAGGCAGCAGUAGGGAAUCUUCCGCAAUGGGCGAAAGCCUGACGGAGCAACGCCGCGUGAGUGAUGAAGGUCUUCGGAUCGUAAAACUCUGUUAUUAGGGAAGAACAAAUGUGUAAGUAACUAUGCACGUCUUGACGGUACCUAAUCAGAAAGCCACGGCUAACUACGUG